CGUAGGGUGCGAGCGUUAAUCGGAAUUACUGGGCGUAAAGUGUGCGCAGGUGGCUGAGCAAGUCGAGUGUGAAAUCCCCGGGCUUAACUUGGGAAUUGCGCUCGAAACUACUUGGCUCGAGUGUGGCAGAGGAAGGUGGAAUUCCAGGUGUAGCGGUGAAAUGCGUAGAGAUCUGGAGGAACACCGAUGGCGAGGGCAGCCUUCUGGGCCAACACUGACGCUCAUGCACGAAAGCGUGGGGAGCAAACAGGAUUAGAUACCCUGGUAGUCCACGCCCUAAACGAUGAUGACUAGUUGUUGGGGGAGUUAAAUCCCUUAGUAACGCAGCUAACGCGUGAAGUCAUCCGCCUGGGGAGUACGGUCGCAAGAUUA
rnacentral:rRNA from 1 species